rnacentral:rRNA from 1 species
AAGCUGUGGCUGUAUACGUAAAGUAUACGGGGUAGGGGAGCGUUCCCAUAGGGUAGAAGUCGAACUGGAAGGUUCGGUGGACUUGUGGGAAGUGAGAAUGUUGGUAUGAGUAGCGAAAAGAAAGGUGAGAAUCCUUUCCACCGAAAGCAUAAGGAUUCCUGAGCAACGAUCGUCGUCUCAGGGUAAGUCGGGACCUAAUCCGAGGCAGAGAGCGUAGGAGAUGGACAACUGGUUGAUAUUCCAGUACCGGUAGUAAUUGUUUGAGCAAUGGAGUGACACAGAAGGGCAGGCAAGCAUGCGAAUGGAAGAGCAUGUGUAAGCGUGUAGGGUGGUGCAUAGGCAAAUCCGUGCACUGAAAGCCUGAGGCGUGAUGCGGAGUGAGCAGAGAUGCGAGCGAAGUUGUUGACCCCACACUGUCGAGAAAAGCUUCUAGUGAGAGAGCUACCGCCCGUACCGUAAACCGACACAGGUAUGCGGGGAGAGAAUCCUAAGGUGCGCGGGAGAACCCUCGUUAAGGAACUCGGCAAAAUGUACCCGUAACUUCGGGAUAAGGGUAGCCACUGUUGUGAAGUCCCAUGCGGAUGGAGCAUAGAGUGGUCGCAGAGAAGAGGCCCAAGCGACUGUUUACCAUAAACACAGGUGCCUGCUAAAGCGAAAGCUGACGUAUAGGUGCUGACACCUGCCCAGUGCCGGAAGGUUAAGGAAGGAUGUUCGGAGUAAUCCAAAGCAUUCGACUGAAGCCCCGGUGAACGGCGGCCGUAACUAUAACGGUCCUAAGGUAGCGAAAUUCCUUGUCGGGUAAGUUCCGACCCGCACGAAAGGUGUAACGAUUUGGGCACUGUCUCAACGAGGGACCCGGUGAAAUUGAAAUACCUGUGAAGAUGCAGGUUACCCGCGACUGGACAGAAAGACCCCAUGGAGCUUUACUGUAACCUGACAUUGGGUUUUGAUACAUUACGUACAGGAUAGGUGGGAGGCUUGGAAAGCUGGACGCUAGUCUGGCUGGAGCCGACGUUGGGAUACCACCCUUGAUGUAUUGAAAUUCUAACCGCGAGAGUAACGAAAUCCGGGACAGUGUCAGGCGGGCAGUUUGACUGGGGCGGUCGCCUCCGAAAGAGUAACGGAGGCGCCCAAAGGUUCCCUCAGCGCGGCCGGAAAUCGCGCGAAGAGUGUAAAGGCAGAAGGGAGCUUGACUGCGAGUCAAACAC